rnacentral:rRNA from 1 species
GAUUUCUGGUAUGAUGCCCCUGAUCCGCGCCCUUCGGGGUGUGUGUGUUGGUGUGGCGUCUGCCAUCUUUUGUAAGCGCUGGUUUGUCAGGCCUUUACUGGUUUGGCAGGCUCACGUGUUUGCAAGUUUUACUUUGAAAAAAUUAGAGUGUUUAAAGCAGGCUUUUAUGCUAUGAAUACAUUAGCAUGGAAUAAUAAUAUAGGACUUUGGUUCUAUUUUGUUGGUUUCUAGUACUGAAGUAAUGAUUGAUAGGGACAGUUGGGGGUGCUAGUAUUCAGCGGCCAGAGGUGAAAUUCUUGGAUUCGCUGAAGACUAACUUAUGCGAAAGCAUU